rnacentral:rRNA from 1 species
CCAAUAGCGUAUAUUAAAGUUGUUGCAGUUAAAAAGCUCGUAGUUGAAUUUCGGGAUCAAUUAAUUGGUCGUGCCUCUGGUACGUACUGAUUUUAUUGGUUUCUCCCUUCUGACGAAUCAUGAUGUCAUUAAUUUGGUGUCGUGGAGAAUCAGGACUGUUACUUUGAAAAAAUUAGAGUGUUUAAAGCAAGCUCACGCUUGAAUACAUUAGCAUGGAAUAAUGAAAUAGGACGUUUGAUCCUAUUUUGUUGGUUUCUAGGAUCGACGUAAUGAUUAAUAGGGAUAGUUGGGGGCAUUAGUAUUCAAUUGUCAGAGGUGAAAUUCUUGGAUUUAUUGAAGACGAACUACUGCGAAAGCAUUUGCCAAGGAUGUUUUCAUUAAUCAAGAACGAAAGUUAGGGGAUCGAAGACGAUCAGAUACCGUCGUAGUCUUAACCAUAAACUAUGCCGACUAGGGAUCGGAUGAUGUUAAUUUUUUAAUGACUCAUUCGGCGCCUUACG